GCGAGGGAAGGUUUUCGCCAAUCGUAAACUAAAGAUCGGUGGGACUUUCGUUCGUCU
rnacentral:pre_miRNA from 1 species